UACGUAGGUGGCAAGCGUUGUCCGGAAUUAUUGGGCGUAAAGCGCGCGCAGGCGGUCCUUUUAAGUCUGAUGUGAAAGCCCACGGCUCAACCGUGGAGGGUCAUUGGAAACUGGGGGGACUUGAGUGCAGAAGAGGAGAGUGGAAUUCCACGUGUAGCGGUGAAAUCGUAGAGAUGUGGAGGAACACCAGUGGCGAAGGCGACUCUCUGGUCUGUAACUGACGCUGAGGCACGAAAAGCGUGGGGGAGCAAACAGG
rnacentral:rRNA from 1 species